rnacentral:ribozyme from 15 species
UUUUUUAUUUUUUUUUCUUUUUUUUUUUUUUCUUUUUUCUC